rnacentral:rRNA from 1 species
UACGUAGGGUGCAAGCGUUAAUCGGAAUUACUGGGCGUAAAGCGUGCGCAGGCGGUUAUGCAAGACAGAUGUGAAAUCCCCGGGCUCAACCUGGGAACUGCAUUUGUGACUGCAUGGCUAGAGUGCGGCAGAGGGGGAUGGAAUUCCGCGUGCAGCAGUGAAAUGCGUAGAUAUGCGGAGGAACACCGAUGGCGAAGGCAAUCCCCUGGGCCUGCACUGACGCUCAUGCACGAAAGCGUGGGGAGCAAACAGG